AUGGGCGAAAGCCUGAUGGAGCAACGCCGCGUGAGUGAAGAAGGUCUUCGGAUCGUAAAGCUCUGUUGCACGGGACGAAAACUGGGUUUGAAAACAUUGAACCUGGGUGACGGUACCGAGCGAGGAAGCCACGGCUAACUACGUGCCAGCAGCCGCGGUAAUACGUAGGUGGCGAGCGUUGUCCGGAAUUAUUGGGCGUAAAGGGAGCGCAGGCGGACAUAUAAGUCCAUCUUAAAAGUGCGGGGCUCAACCCCGUGAGGGGAUGGAAACUGUAUGCCUUGAGUGCAGGAGAGGAAAGCGGAAUUCCCAGUGUAGCGGUGAAAUGCGUAGAUAUUGGGAGGAACACCAGUGGCGAAGGCGGCUUUCUGGACUGUAACUGACGCUGAGGCUCGAGGGCCAGGGGAGCGAACGGGAUUAGAUACCCCGGUAGUCCUGGCCGUAAACGAUGAAUGCUAGGUGUAGGAGGUAUCGACCCCUCCUGUGCCGGAGUUAACGCAAUAAGCAUUCCGCCUGGGGAGUACGGUCGCAAGACUGAAACUCAAAGGAAUUGACGGGGGCCCGCACAAGCGGUGGAGUAUGUGGUUUAAUUCGACGCAACGCGAAGAACC
rnacentral:rRNA from 1 species